AUUGCUUCUCGGCCUUUUGGCUAAGAUCAAGUGUAGUAUUUGUUCUUAUCAGUUUAAUAUCUAAUAUGUCCUCUAUCCAAGCACAAUAUAAUAAAUGGGUUUUUGGAGCUGGGAGAUGGAAUAGGAACUUGCUCUAUCUACUCCACACAAUAACCUGGUAUUGCAUUAUCUCCAGAAACAGUGCACCCCUU
rnacentral:snRNA from 1 species